GAGUACGUGGCGCAGUGGCUAGCGCAGUUGUUUUUGAAUCUCCCGACGCGGGUUCAAUUCCCACCGGCGACA